rnacentral:rRNA from 1 species
GAUGAACGCUGGCGGCGUGCCUAAUACAUGCAAGUCGAGCGAACAGAUAAGGAGCUUGCUCCUUUGAAGUUAGCGGCGGACGGGUGAGUAACACGUGGGUAACCUACCUAUAAGACUGGGAUAACUUCGGGAAACCGGAGCUAAUACCGGAUAACAUUUAGAACCGCAUGGUUCUAAAGUGAAAGAUGGUUUUGCUAUCACUUAUAGAUGGACCCGCGCCGUAUUAGCUAGUUGGUAAGGUAACGGCUUACCAAGGCGACGAUACGUAGCCGACCUGAGAGGGUGAUCGGCCACACUGGAACUGAGACACGGUCCAGACUCCUACGGGAGGCAGCAGUAGGGAAUCUUCCGCAAUGGGCGAAAGCCUGACGGAGCAACGCCGCGUGAGUGAUGAAGGGUUUCGGCCCGUAAAACUCUGUUAUUAGGGAAGAACAAAUGUGUAAGUAACUGUGCACAUCUUGACGGUACCUAAUCAGAAAGCCACGGCUAACUACGUGCCAGCAGCCGCGGUAAUACGUAUGUGGCAAGCGUUAUCCGGAAUUAUUGUGCGUAAAGCGCGCGUAGGCGGUUUCUUAGUCUGAUGUGAAAGCCCACGGCUCAACCGUGGAGGGUCAUUGGAAACUGGGAAACUUGAGUGCACAAAAGGAAAGUGGAAUUCCAUGUGUAGCGGUGAAAUGCGCACAGAUAUGGAGGAACACCACUGGCGAAAGCGACUUUCUGGUCUGUAACUGACACUGAUGUGCGAAAGCGUGGGGAUCAAACAGGAUUAUAUACCCUGGUAGUCCACGCCGUAAACAAUGAGUGCUAAGUGUUAGGGGGUUUCCGCCCCUUAUUGCUGCAGCUAACGCAUUAAGCACUCCGCCUGGGGAGUACGACCGCAAGGUUGAAACUCAAAGGAAUUGACGGGGACCCGCACAAGCGGUGGAGCAUGUGGUUUAAUUAGAAGCAACGCGAAGAACCUUACCAAAUCUUGACAUCCUUUGAAAACUCUAGAGAUAGAGCCUUCCCCUUCGGGGGACAAAGUGACAGGUGGUGCAUGGUUGUCGUCAGCUCGUGUCGUGAGAUGUUGGGUUAAGUCCCGCAACGAGCGCAACCCUUAAGCUUAGUUGCCAUCAUUAAGUUGGGCACUAUAGGUUGACUGCCGGUGACAAACCGGAGGAAGGUGGGGAUGACGUCAAAUCAUCAUGCCCCUUAUGAUUUGGGCUACACACGUGCUACAAUGGACAAUACAAAGGGCAGCUAAACCGCGAGGUCAUGCAAAUCCCAUAAAGUUGUUCUCAGUUCGGAUUGUAGUCUGCAACUCGACUACAUGAAGCUGGAAUCGCUAGUAAUCGUAGAUCAGCAUGCUACGGUGAAUACGUUCCCGGGUCU